CUUGAGUAACUAUAAGAGGUCCAGCCUGCCCAGUGACUUUGUUCAACGGCCGCGGUAUCCUAACCGUGCGAAGGUAGCGUAAUCACUUGUCUUUUAAAUGGGGACUUGUAUGAACGGCAUCACGAGGGUUAUACUGUCUCCUUUUUCUAAUCAGUGAAACUAAUUUUCCCGUGAAGAAGCGGGAAUAAACAUAUAAGACGAGAAGACCCUAUGGAGCUUUAAACUCAAUAACAAAUACUGACCUUACAUCAACUUUCAGAAGAUUCACCUUAAUUUUAGUAUUAUGAUUAUUAGUUUUAGGUUGGGGUGACCGCGGAGUAAAAAUUAACCUCCACAUUGAACGGGACCUAUCCCUGAGCCAAGAACUACAGCUCAAAGCACCAACAAAUUGACAUUAAUUGACCCAAUAUUUUGAUCAACGAAC
rnacentral:rRNA from 1 species